AGCCAGUGAUGAUGAUACAAGGAUGGUUUCGCAGUUAUAGCUGAGUUAAUCAUGAGGAAUUCCUUGGCUGUCUGAGGCU
rnacentral:snoRNA from 1 species